rnacentral:tRNA from 1 species
CAUUAGGUGACUGAAAAUAAAGUGUAGGUCUUUUAACCCUAUAAUGACGUAACCACCCGCCCCUAAUGG